rnacentral:lncRNA from 1 species
GGAAAAAAAAAGCGAAACUGUUCUCCAAUUAAAGCUGCUAACGUGUACUACGCCGUUUCCUUGUUGGAUUUUCUUGUUCGCUGACUGCUGCUCCUGUAGAAACAAAAUGAGUGGUCCUGCUCAGGUUCCAAUGAUGUCCCCAAAUGGUUCCGUGCCUCCUAUUUAUGUGCCUCCUGGAUAUGCCCCACAGGUUAUUGAAGACAAUGGUGUUCGGAGAGUCGUUGUGGUUCCGCAAUCACCAGAGUUUCAUCCUGGUGGCCACACAGUUAUCCACCGCUCCCCACAUCCUCCUCUGCCUGGUUUCAUUCCCGUCCCAACCAUGAUGCCCCCUCCACCACGCCAUAUGUACUCACCAGUGACUGGAGCUGGCGACAUGGCAACACAGUAUAUGCCACAGUAUCAGUCUUCACAAGUAUAU